rnacentral:rRNA from 1 species
UGGGGAAUAUUGCACAAUGGGCGCAAGCCUGAUGCAGCCAUGCCGCGUGUAUGAAGAAGGCCUUCGGGUUGUAAAGUACUUUCAGCGGGGAGGAAGGGAGUAAAGUUAAUACCUUUGCUCAUUGACGUUACCCGCAGAAGAAGCACCGGCUAACUCCGUGCCAGCAGCCGCGGUAAUACGGAGGGUGCAAGCGUUAAUCGGAAUUACUGGGCGUAAAGCGCACGCAGGCGGUUUGUUAAGUCAGAUGUGAAAUCCUCGGGCUCAACCUGGGAACUGCAUCUGAGACUGGCAAGCUUGAGUCUUGUAGAGGGGGGUAGAAUUCCAGGUGUAGCGGUGAAAUGCGUAGAGAUCUGGAAGAAUACCGGUGGCGAAGGCGGCCCCCUGGACGAAGACUGACGCUCAGGUGCGAAAGCGUGGGGAGCAAACAGG